GGGGAUGUGGUAAUUGGUGGUAAUCGGUGAAUAUCAUGUUAACUGACUCUUAAUCAGUAGGUCUUCGGUUCGAUCCCGAAACGGCUCACCA
rnacentral:tRNA from 1 species